rnacentral:rRNA from 1 species
UACGAAGGGGGCUAGCGUUGCUCGGAAUUACUGGGCGUAAAGGGAGCGUAGGCGGACAUUUAAGUCAGAGGUGAAAUCCCGGAGCUUAACUUCGGAACUGCCUUUGAUACUGGGUGUCUUGAGUGUGAGAGAGGUAUGUGGAACUCCGAGUGUAGAGGUGAAAUUCGUAGAUAUUCGGAAGAACACCAGUGGCGAAGGCGACAUACUGGCUCAUUACUGACGCUGAGGCUCGAAAGCGUGGGGAGCAAACAGGAUUAGAUACCCUGGUAGUCCACGCCGUAAACGAUGAUUGCUAGUUGUCGGGAAGCUUGCUUCUCGGUGACGCAGCUAACGCAUUAAGCAAUCCGCCUGGGGAGUACGGUCGCAAGAUUA